rnacentral:lncRNA from 1 species
CAGCCUGGGAUACAGGAGUCCCUGUCUCAAAGAAGAAAAACAACACGAAACUUUCAACAGUUCUAUGGAUGUAGCUUGGCAGUAAAACAUGUAUGGUCGGCAUUCACAAGGCCCUGGAUUCAAUCCCCCAGCACUACAUGAACAUAAACCUCUCUCAAGGCUAAGGGGCAAGAAAGGAAAAAUAACAAUAUGAUCCCUCUGGCAACUGAGAAGCAGAAAUCCAGAUGACAAAUGUCUAGCCAGCCUGAGAAAGCAGAGCCCAGUGCUAGGAGAAAAGCCAACAGCAGCACGAAAUGCGAUCUCAUUUCUCAGAAUCUGUUCGGGUAGCAGCUUGUGUUCUCCGUCUCCUCUGCUCAGCUGUCACCUCUCCUCUUUCACGCAGGUAGAAGGCUGGAAGGUUGAAAGGGCCUUCUCCAAAAGGGGUAGGAGAAGGCUGGUUGUCAAAGGCAGCCUAAUACUUGGUUACCUAAAACAAUGACCACUUUACUUCUGUCUCAUUAUAAUUCAUGACCUUGUGGGUCUGAAUUUGGACAGAACUGGGCUUGGCAUGCCCAACACUUUCCAUCCUUGUGGCAUCAAGGAAGGCUGAUUGGUGUAGCAGGCUAGCUGUAGUCACCAACCUAGAGAUUCAGUGUGUGUAGGGCAAUACGGCAAAGUAUGGAAGACUGCCCUCUGGUGGCAACAUCCUUCAGAGACCCUGCAUCUAUCAUCUCAACCCAAAGUCAGACUUGCUGUAGAAGUUCAGGCUUUCUAGAAAUAACACUGUAAGAGAUCUACCAACUAACUGUCUAGGUUCCAAGGAGCUCAGACAUGCCUGUUGUGAUCUAUAUACCCAGAGUCACUAAGGCUUCACGGUUCCACUUUAGUCUCCAUUGUAGUGUGUGUCUGCGUGGGUGUGAAUAUGUGACUAUGUUUAAUCUAGGGUGGGAGAUUUACACAAGCCUAGGGCUACUCUAAUUGACAUUAUGGUGGUAAAUAUUGAACUGCUCCUGUUCAGGUGCCUAGCAUUCUGGUUCAGGUAUUAUACCCACUGAGUAGGGAGGCUGGAGACUCUGGGGAAUCUAAGAACACAAACAUAAAGAGACUGUUAUCAGUUACUCAGAGCAACUGGAGGCAAUGCUAAG